GCCAGGUGUGGUGGUGUACGCCUGUAAUCCGAGCAGCUGGGAGGCUGACACAGGAGAAUCUCAAGUAGAAUCUCGAGUUCAAAAUCAGCCUCAGCAACUGUGAGGCACUAAGCAAUUCAUUGAGACUCAUUGUUUCUA
rnacentral:sRNA from 1 species